rnacentral:rRNA from 1 species
CUGUGCUAAGGUAGCAUAUAUCAUUUGGCUUUUAAUAGGGGUCUGGAAUGAAAGGUCUAACAAAUAUUAGUUUCUUACUCGUAAAGAGUGAAUUUAAGAUUUAAGUAAAAACGCUUGAGUUGUUUGUGGGACGACAAGACCCUAAAAGCUUUAUUUUGGGUAUUGUUAUAUUUUUAAUAGUCAAUAGAGACAAGAAUUUGGUUGGGGUAAUAGCUCUAAAUAUAUUAGGGUAUUUUUAUAUAGUAUAAUUAAAUUUAGAUCCUUAUAAUUAGGAUAUUAGUCAUAGUUACUUUAGGGGUAACAGGGUGAUUAUUUUAUUAAGCUCUUAUUUAUAAAAUAGAUUGCUACCUCGAUGUUGAAUUAAUAUUUCUGCGAGAUGGAAAAGGCUCGUUUAGAGGGUUUGUUCAACCUUUAAUUUUUUACAUGAUCUGAGUUCAAACAGGA